rnacentral:rRNA from 1 species
CGACGUGGGGAACCUGCCCUAUACAGGGGAGUAACAGCUGGAAACGGUUGCUAAUACCGCAUAAGCGCACAGAAUCGCAUGAUUCAGUGUGAAAAGCCCUGGCAGUAUAGGAUGGUCCCGCGUCUGAUUAGCUGGUUGGUGAGGUAACGGCUCACCAAGGCGACGAUCAGUAGCCGGCUUGAGAGAGUGAACGGCCACAUUGGGACUGAGACACGGCCCAA